CGGCUAAUUCCGUGCCAGCAGCCGCGGUAAUACGGAAGGUCCGGGCGUUAUCCGGAUUUAUUGGGUUUAAAGGGAGCGUAGGCCGGAGAUUAAGCGUGUUGUGAAAUGUAGAUGCUCAACAUCUGCACUGCAGCGCGAACUGGUUUCCUUGAGUACGCACAAAGUGGGCGGAAUUCGUGGUGUAGCGGUGAAAUGCUUAGAUAUCACGAAGAACUCCGAUUGCGAAGGCAGCUCACUGGAGCGCAACUGACGCUGAAGCUCGAAAGUGCGGGUAUCGAACAGGAUUAGAUACCCUGGUAGUCCGCACGGUAAACGAUGGAUGCCCGCUGUUGGUCUGAAUAGGUCAGCGGCCAAGCGAAAGCAUUAAGCAUCCCACCU
rnacentral:rRNA from 1 species